GUCUGGCGUAUGCCAAAUGGAGAGAGCGC
rnacentral:sRNA from 1 species